rnacentral:rRNA from 1 species
UUCCUACGGGAGGCAGCAGUAGGGAAUAUUGGACAAUGGGUGCGAGCCUGAUCCAGCCAUGCCGCGUGCAGGAAGACGGCCUUCUGGGUUGUAAACUGCUUUUAUCUGGGGAUAAAAAGCCCGUGCGCGGGCAAUUGAAGGUACCAGAUGAAUAAGCCACGGCUAACUACGUGCCAGCAGCCGCGGUAAUACGUAGGUGGCAAGCGUUGUCCGGAUUUAUUGGGUUUAAAGGGUGCGUAGGCGGUCUGUUAAGUCAGUGGUGAAAUACUUCAGCUCAACUGGAGAGGUGCCAUUGAUACUGGCGGACUUGAGUACUGAUGAGGUAGGCGGAAUGGACGGUGUAGCGGUGAAAUGCUUAGAUAUCGUCCAGAACACCGAUAGCGAAGGCAGCUUACUAAGGAGUAACUGACGCUGAUGCACGAAAGUGUGGGGAUCAAACAGGAUUAGAUACCCUGGUAGUCCACACUGUAAACGUUGAUCACUCGAUGUUGGCGAUACACAGCCAGCGUCUUAGCGAAAGCGAUAAGUGAUCCACCUGGGGAGUACGCCGGCAACGGUGAAACUCAAAGGAAUUGACGGGGGUCCUCUCAGCGGUGGAGCAUGUGGUUUAAUUCGAUGAACGCUCAUAACCUUACCUGGGCUAGAAUGCCCUUGACCGAUCCAGAGACGGAUCUUUCAGCAAUGACAAGGAGCAAGGUGCUGCAUGGCUGUCGUCAGCUCGUGCCGUGAGGUGUUGGGUUAAGUCCCGCAACGAGCGCAACCCUUAUCUUUAGUUGCCAGCACGUAAUGGUGGGGACUCUAGAGAGACUGCCUGCGCAAGCAGAGAGGAAGGAGGGGAUGACGUCAAGUCAUCAUGGCCCUUACGCCCAGGGCUACACACGUGCUACAAUGGCGUCUACAAAGUGUUGCAAGCCAGCGAUGGUGAGCCAAUCACAAAAAGGACGUCUCAGUUCGGAUUGCAGGCUGCAACUCGCCUGCAUGAAGUUGGAAUCGCURGUAAUCSCGCAUCAGCGAUGGCGCGGUGAAUACGUUCCCGGGCCUUGU